rnacentral:rRNA from 1 species
UACAGAGGGUGCAAGCGUUGUUCGGAAUUAUUGGGCGUAAAGCGCGUGUAGGCGGCUUUGCAAGUCGGGUGUGAAAGCCCUCGGCUCAACCGAGGAAGUCGCGCCCGAAACUGCAGAGCUUGAGUACCGGAGAGGAUGGCGGAAUUCCCCAAGUAGAGGUGAAAUCGUAGAUAUGGGGAGGAACACCGGUGGCGAAGGCGGCCUGCUGGCAGUUAGCUGACGACUGAGGCGCGAC